GCAGAGCUCAGCGAAGUACUGGCUCCGCCUGCGGCCGGUCCAGAGGACGAGGGUUUCUGCUGAGGCCUGGAGGCUGCGAUGGUACUGGAUCCAGAAUCAGCACCUGAGAGGAGACAAGUGGGUUCAGAGAAACACGGAGGUCGGUACCCUGGUUGUCCUGGUUGCCGUGGGUUACCAGCGGGGCCCCUCGGCCCCCCAGCCGUUCCUUGACCCUCUGGUUGAACUGCAGCGUCGAAGCGGAGUAGUGAUACCCGGGACCAGCCGGACAGAUCUCCUUAAAGGCCACUGCAGGAGGAGACACGCCGAGACCGACUGAAACACGACACUUCCUGCCGUCUUUUCACAAUAAAUGUUCUUCAUGCUGCGUUCCAUUACACCUCGGAACUUGAAUCCCUGAGCCCGGAAGUCGGGGUGAUGAUUUUUUUCUGACCUCCCGAGUUGCAAUUUCUGACUCGGAAGGUCGAAGUCCAGAGUUCUGAGAUCCGAUACGUUCGAUACUUGAACGACUUCUGA